rnacentral:rRNA from 1 species
GACAGAGGGUGCAAACGUUGUUCGGAAUUACUGGGCGUAAAGCGCGUGUAGGCGGCCAUCUAAGUCGGGCGUGAAAUCCCACGGCUCAACCGUGGAAGUGCACUCGAAACUGGAUGGCUAGAGUCCUGGAGAGGAAGGUGGAAUGCUUGGUGUAGAGGUGAAAUUCGUAGAUAUCAAGCGGAACACCGGUGGCGAAGGCGGCCUUCUGGACAGUGACUGACGCUGAGACGCGAAAGCGUGGGGAGCAGACAGG